rnacentral:rRNA from 1 species
CAGUAGCCGCGGUAAUACGUAGGUGGCAAGCGUUGUCCUGAUUUAUUGGGCGUAAAGCGAGCGCAGGCGGUUUCUUAAGUCUGAUGUGAAAGCCCCCGGCUCAACCGGGGAGGGUCAUUGGAAACUGGGAAACUUGAGUGCAGAAGAGGAGAGUGGAAUUCCAUGUGUAGCGGUGAAAUGCGUAGAUAUAUGGAGGAACACCAGUGGCGAAGGCGGCUCUCUGGUCUGUAACUGACGCUGAGGCUCGAAAGCGUGGGGAGCAAACAGGAUUAGAUACCCCUGUAGUCCCUGUCUCUUAUAC